AACGAACGCUGGCGGCAUGCCUAACACAUGCAAGUCGAACGAGACCUUCGGGUCUAGUGGCGCACGGGUGCGUAACGCGUGGGAACCUUCCCUUAUGUUCGGAAUAACUCCCCGAAAGGGGUGCUAAUACCGGAUAAUGUCUUCUGACCAAAGAUUUAUCGUCUUUGGAUGGGCACGCGUUGUAUUAGCUAGUUGGUAGGGUAAAAGCCUACCAAGGCGACGAUCCAUAGCUGGUCUGAGAGGAUGAUCAGCCACACUGGGACUGAGACACGGCCCAGAAUACUACGGGAGGCAGCAGUGGGGAAUAUUGGACAUCGGGCGAAAGCAUGAUCCAGCACUGCCGCGUGAGUGAUGAAGGCCUUAGGGUUGUAAAGCUCUUUUACCCGGGAUGAUAAUGACAGUACCGGGAGAAUAAGCUCCGGCUAACUCCGUG
rnacentral:rRNA from 1 species